CCGGGGGAUAAAAUUCCCAUGCGUGGGACAUUGAAGGUACCCGGUGAAUAAGCCACGGCUAACUACGUGCCAGCAGCCGCGGUAAUACGUAGGUGGCAAGCGUUGUCCGGAUUUAUUGGGUUUAAAGGGUGCGUAGGCGGCCUAUUAAGUCAGUUCUGAAAUAUCCCGGCUUAACCGGGAGGGUGGGAUUGAUACUGAUGGGCUUGAGUGGAAUCGAAGUAGGCGGAAUUGACGGUGUAUCGGUGAAAUGCUUACAUAUCGUCAAGAACACCGAUAGUGUACACAGCUUACUAGACUUCAACUGACGCUGAGGCACUAAAGUGUGGGGAUCAAACAGGAUUACAUACCCUGGUAGUCCACACUGUAAACGUUGAUUACUCGCUGUGUGCGAUAUACAGUACGCGGCUUAUCGAAAGCGAUAAUUAAUCCACCUGGGGAGUACGCCGGCGACGGUGAAACUCAAAGGAAUUGACCGGGGUCCGCACAAACGGUGGAGCAUGU
rnacentral:rRNA from 1 species